rnacentral:ncRNA from 1 species
GCAGAGUAGAGAUAUGCGCGUCAAGUGCCAGACGGACGGGGAGUUGCCGGCUGGACGAAAGGCUUCGCCUGCGGUGCAUAUGUCGCAUCCCGCUGC